rnacentral:rRNA from 1 species
AUUGAACGCUGGCGGCAGGCCUAACACAUGCAAGUCGAGCGGAUGAAGGGAGCUUGCUCCUGGAUUCAGCGGCGGACGGGGGAGUAAUGCCUAGGAAUCUGCCUGGUAGUGGGGGAUAACGUCCGGAAACGGGCGCUAAUACCGCAUACGUCCUGAGGGAGAAAGUGGGGGAUCUUCGGACCUCACGCUAUCAGAUGAGCCUAGGUCGGAUUAGCUAGUUGGUGGGGUAAAGGCCUACCAAGGCGACGAUCCGUAACUGGUCUGAGAGGAUGAUCAGUCACACUGGAACUGAGACACGGUCCAGGCUCCUACGGGAGGCAGCAGUGGGGAAUAUUGGACAAUGGGCGAAAGCCUGAUCCAGCCAUGCCGCGUGUGUGAAGAAGGUCUUCGGAUUGUAAAGCACUUUAAGUUGGGAGGAAGGGCAGUAAGUUAAUACCUUGCUGUUUUGACGUUACCAACAGAAUAAGCACCGGCUAACUUCGUG